rnacentral:rRNA from 1 species
UACAGAGGGUGCGAGCGUUAAUCGGAAUUACUGGGCGUAAAGCGCACGUAGGUGGCGACGUAAGUCGGGUGUGAAAGCCCCGGGCUCAACCUGGGAAUUGCAUUCGAGACUGCAUUGCUGGAGUACGGAAGAGGAGGGCGGAAUUCCCGGUGUAGCGGUGAAAUGCGUAGAUAUGCGGAGGAACACCGAUGGCGAAGGCAAUCCCCUGGGCCUGCACUGACGCUCGAUGCACGAAAGCGUGGGGAGCAAACAGG